CCUACGGGAGGCAGCAGUAGGGAAUUUUCGGCAAUGGGGGGAACCCUGACCGAGCAACGCCGCGUGAACGAAGAAGUUAUUCGUAAUGUAAAGUUCUUUUAACAGGGAAGAAAGAGAAAUUUGACGGUACCUUAAGAAUAAGCUCCGGCUAACUACGUGCCAGCAGCCGCGGUAAUACGUAGGGAGCGAGCGUUAUCCGGAAUUAUUGGGCGAAAAGGGUGCGUAGAGGGCAUAGUAAGUCUUUUGUAAAAAUGCUGGGCUAAACCCAGUAGGGCAAAAGAUACUGCAAAGCUAGAGUAUGAUAGAGGCAAGUGGAAUUACAGGUGUAGCGGUAAAAUGCGUAAAUAUAUGUAAGAACACCAGUGGCGAAGGCGGCUUGCUGGGUCGAGACUGACGUUGAGGCACGAAAGCGUGGGGAGCAAACAGGAUUAGAUACCCGGGUAGUC
rnacentral:rRNA from 1 species